rnacentral:rRNA from 1 species
CGCUUGUCUCAAAGAUUAAGCCAUGCAUGUCUAAGUAUAAACAACUUUAUACUGUGAAACUGCGAACGGCUCAUUAUAUCAGCAAUAAUUUAUUUGAUGGUACCUUACUACAUGGACAACUGUGGUAAUUCUAGAGCUAAUACAUGCACAAAGUCCCGACUCUCUUUUGGGGAGGGAUGUAUUUAUUAGAUAAAAAACCAAUGCAGGGGUAAAACCCUGGUCACAUUUUGGUGAAUCAUAGUAACUUUUUCGGAUCGCAUGACUUUUCGUCGGCGACAGUUCAUUCAAAUUUCUGCCCUACCAGCUUUCGACGGUAGUGUAGUGGACUACCGUGGCGUUAACGGGUGACGGAGAAUUAGGGUUCGAUUCCGGAGAGGGAGCCUGAGAAACGGCUACCACAUCCAAGGAAGGCAGCAGGCGCGCAAAUUACCCAAUUCUGAUACAGAGAGGUAGUGACAAGAAAUAACAACACCCGGCCUUUACAGGUCGGGUGAUUGGAAUGAGUACAAUUUAAAUCCCUUAACGAGGAUCAACUGGAGGGCAAGUCUGGUGCCAGCAGCCGCGGUAAUUCCAGCUCCAGUAGCAUAUAUUAACGUUGUUGCAGUUAAAAAGCUCGUAGUUGGAUUUCUGGUACGAUGCGCCUAGUCCGCCCGGGUUUUUUCUCGGUGUGAGUAUUGGCGCGCGUCUGCCAUCCUUCCGGCGUACAGUCGUCUGCCCUUCACUGGGUGUGCGGCUGCGCUCCGGAUCGUUUACUUUGAAAAAAUUAGAGUGUUCAAAGCAGCCUUGCGCUGUGAAUACAUUAGCAUGGAAUAAUAAUCUAGGACUUCGGUUCUAUUUGGUGGGUUUCUAGCACUGAAGUAAUGAUUGAUAGGGAUAGUUGGGGGUGCUAGUAUUGGGCGGCCAGAGGUGAAAUUCUUGGAUUCGCUCAAGACUAACUUAUGCGAAAGCAUUCACCAAGGAUGACUUCUUUAAUCAAGAACGAAAGUUGGGGGAUCGAAGAGGAUCAGAUACCCUCGUAGUCUCAACCAUAAACUAUGCCAACUAGGGAUCGGUGAACCGUUGCAUUUUCGACUUCAUCGGCACCUUAUGAGAAAUCAAAGUCUUUGGGUUCCGGGGGGAGUAUGGUCGCAAGGCUGAAACUUAAAGGAAUUGACGGAAGGGCACCACCAGGAGUGGAGCCUGCGGCUUAAUUUGACUCAACACGGGAAAACUUACCAGGUCCAGACAUAGUGAGGAUUGACAGAUUGAAGUUCUUUCUUGAUUCUAUGGGUGGUGGUGC